rnacentral:rRNA from 1 species
AUUGAACGCUGGCGGCAUGCUUUACACAUGCAAGUCGAACGGUAGACCCUUUCGGGGUUGAGAGUGGCGAACGGGUGAGUAAUGCAUCGGAACGUACCCAGUCGUGGGGGAGUAACGUGGCGAAAGUCACGCUAAUACCGCAUACGUCCUGAGGGAGAAAGCAGGGGAUCGCAAGACCUUGCGCGAUUGGAGCGGCCGAUGUCUGAUUAGCUAGUUGGUGGGGUAAAGGCCUACCAAGGCGACGAUCAGUAGCUGGUCUGAGAGGACGAUCAGCCACACUGGGACUGAGACACGGCCCAGACUCCUACGGGAGGCAGCAGUGGGGAAUUUUGGACAAUGGGCGAAAGCCUGAUCCAGCCAUUCCGCGUGAGUGAAGAAGGCC